AGAGGAGCCUGUUCUAUAAUCGAUAAUCCCCGAUAAACCUCACCACCUAUUGCCAAUACAGCCUAUAUACCACCGUCCAGCCCGCCCUUUAAAGGAUAAACAGCAGGCAUAAUUAUAAACAUUAAAACGUCAGGUCAAGGUGUAGCAGAUAAGGUGGAAAGAAAUGGGCUACAUUUUCUAACUUAGAAAACACGGAUGAUUCUAUGAAAUAGUUUCUGAAGGAGGAUUUAGCAGUAAAAAGAAACAAGAAUGUUCUUUUUAAGACGGCAAUAAAGCGCGCACACACCGCCCGUCACCCU
rnacentral:rRNA from 1 species